CUGGAAUGAUGCAUCUUAGCCAAAUCAGACAAUGAUGUGCUCCUAGAGGUAUCUGUUUUUAAGCUUGCGAGAAUUCCUGUCCCAGGUGCACUUGGUGAUUUUCCAAUGCAUUUGGUGAAGUUUUAGGCAAGGUACCUUUAGUAGAAGCGCAUCUCUCUGAUGAUAACACAGAGAUUGGUUCUUGCUGACCAGA